rnacentral:rRNA from 1 species
UACGGUGGGUGCGAGCGUUGUCCGGAAUCACUGGGCGUAAAGGGCGCGUAGGUGGUUUGAUAAGGGUGUGGUGAAAGCCCGGGGCUCAACCCCGGGUCUGCCGUGCCGACUGUCAAACUCGAGGGCUGUAGAGGCAGACGGAAUUCCGGGUGUAGCGGUGGAAUGCGUAGAGAUCCGGAGGAAGACCGGUGGCGAAGGCGGUCUGCUGGGCAGUUUCUGACACUGAGGCGCGACAGCGUGGGGAGCAAACAGG